AGUUGGUCUGUCAGUGGAUGAAUAUAAAUUUAUCAUUGUGAUGUCUUCUUCCUGGAUUCUUACCUGUGUUAAUAUGUAGUGUCCUUCUUUAUCUUUUUGAACUGAUUAUAAUGAGAAGGCUAGCUUGUCUGACCUCAGGAUGGCUACCCCUGC